GACGAACGCUGGCGGCGUGCUUAACACAUGCCAGUCGAACGGAAAGGCCCUGCUUUUGUGGGGUGCUCGAGUGGCGAACGGGUGAGUAACACGUGAGUAACCUGCCCUUGACUUUGGGAUAACUUCAGGAAACUGGGGCUAAUACCGGAUAGGAGCUCCUGCUGCAUGGUGGGGGUUGGAAAGUUUCGGCGGUUGGGGAUGGACUCGCGGCUUAUCAGCCUGUUGGUGGGGUAGUGGCUUACCAAGGCUUUGACGGGUAGCCGGCCUGAGAGGGUGACCGGCCACAUUGGGACUGAGAUACGGCCCAGACUCCUACGGGAGGCAGCAGUGGGGAAUAUUGCACAAUGGGCGGAAGCCUGAUGCAGCAACGCCGCGUGCGGGAUGACGGCCUUCGGGUUGUAAACCGCUUUCGCCUGUGACGAAGCGUGAGUGACGGUAAUGGGUAAAGAAGCACCGGCUAACUACGUG
rnacentral:rRNA from 1 species